rnacentral:lncRNA from 10 species
AGUCCUCACCUCCCACAUGCUUUUCAUCACCCGCUCUCACAUCCCAUCUGGGGCCUCUGCUUCCAUCCUACCAUUUCGCAAGCCUGGCCAACUCAAGCUCCGUGUGCUGCACCUAGAGCAGCCCAUCUCUGUGUCAGGAGCAUUCAAGGAGGAAUGGCUUCAUGAUGGCAAUGAGCGGCAUCGCCUGAAAGACAGCCUUCGAGAGUCUCCCAGAGCCGCUGAGGAGCAAGGCAGCUCCCCCACCUACAUUCCACCAUAUUGAAGGGCUUACCUGUCUGGUGCCAGCAAAGACAGAGGUGAGCUGGUAUUAUGAAGUCAGAUGCAUCUUUCGAAAGGAAUGAAAGACUGAGGCUGGGAAAAGGGAAAGAAAUUUUUUUCUUCCCAGUGGAAACAUUCGCAUGCUACAAUUGGAGAAUGUGAUUCUGCCAGCUGGUCAUAUUGGGGCUGUGUCCUGACCUAUGGACCUCAUGUAUGCAAUUCUCUUUCUCAAAACAUAGCUUCGAGGUAGGCAUAAUUACUCCCUUUUGGUGAAUAACCAGUAGAUGGAC